rnacentral:rRNA from 1 species
UUUGGAAUAUUGCACAAUGGGGGUAAACCCGUAGAUGCAGCGACGCCGCGUGGAGGACGAAGGAUCUAGGUCUGUAAACUCCUUUUGCCAGGAAAGACUUAGGACGGUACCUGGCGAAUAAGCCCCGGCUAACUACGUGCCAGCAGCCGCGGUAAGACGUAGGGGGCGAGCGUUGUCCGGAUUUACUGGGCGUAAAGAGCGCGUAGGCGGCUAGUUAAGUGAGAAGUGAAAUCUCCAGGGCUCAACCCGGGAAACUGCUUUUCAUACUGGCCAGCUGGAGGGACGCAGGGGUGACUGGAAUUCCCGGUGUAGCGGUGAAAUGCAUUGAUAUCGGGAGGAACUCCAACAGCGAAGGCAGGUCACUGGGGCUUUCCUGACGCUGAGGCGCGAAAGCGUGGGUAGCAAACAGGAUUAGAGACCCUUGUAG